UACAGAGGUCUCAACCGUUGUUCGGAUUCAUUGGGCGUAAAGGGUGCGUAGGCGGUCGCGUAAGUCAGGUGUGAAAUCUCGGAGCUUAACUCCGAAACUGCAUUCGAUACUGCCGUGCUUGAGGACUGGAGAGGAGACUGGAAUUUACGGUGUAGCGGUGAAAUGCGUAGAUAUCGUAAGGAAGACCAGUGGCGAAGGCGGGUCUCUGGACAGUUCCUGACGCUGAGGCACGAAGGUCAGGGGAGCAAACGGG
rnacentral:rRNA from 1 species